GCCAGUGUGGCACAGUGGUUUGAGCAUUGGAUCAGGACUCUGGAGACCAGGGUUCGAUUCUCAGCUCAGCUA